rnacentral:rRNA from 1 species
UACAGAGGUGGCAAGCGUUGUUCGGAAUUACUGGGCGUAAAGGGCGCGUAGGCGGCCUUCUAAGUCGGACGUGAAAGCCCCAGGCUUAACCUGGGAACUGCGUCCGAUACUGGGAGGCUUGGAUUCGGGAGAGGGAUGUGGAAUUCCAGGUGUAGCGGUGAAAUGCGUAGAUAUCUGGAGGAACACCGGUGGCGAAGGCGGCAUCCUGGACCGAGAUC